GACGAGCCACACAAACGUUGUUCGGAAUUACUGGGCGUAAAGCGCGUGUAGGCGGCCCUGCAAGUCGGAUGUGAAAUCCCACGGCUCAACCGUGGAAGUGCAUUCGAAACUGCAGGGCUAGAGUCCUGGAGAGGAAGGUGGAAUGCUUGGUGUAGAGGUGAAAUUCGUAGAUAUCAAGCGGAACACCGGUGGCGAAGGCGGCCUUCUGGACAGUGACUGACGCUGAGACGCGAAAGCGUGGGGAGCAAACAGG
rnacentral:rRNA from 1 species